ACGCUGGCGGCGUGCCUAACACAUGCAAGUCGAACGGGGUUACGAGAGCUUGCUCUUGUAACUUAGUGGCGGACGGGUGAGUAACACGUGAGCAAUCUGCCUUUCAGAGGGGGAUACCAGUUGGAAACGACUGUUAAUACCGCAUAACAUAUCGAGAUCGCAUGAUAUUGAUAUCAAAGAUUUAUCGCUGAAAGAUGAGCUCGCGUCUGAUUAGAUAGUUGGUGAGGUAACGGCUCACCAAGUCGACGAUCAGUAGCCGGACUGAGAGGUUGGACGGCCACAUUGGGACUGAGACACGGCCCAGACUCCUACGGGAGGCAGCAGUGGGGAAUAUUGCACAAUGGGCGCAAGCCUGAUGCAGCGAUGCCGCGUGAGGGAAGAAGGUUUUAGGAUUGUAAACCUCUGUCUUCAGGGACGAUAAUGACGGUACCUGAGGAGGAAGCUCCGGCUAACUACGUG
rnacentral:rRNA from 1 species